rnacentral:rRNA from 2 species
ACUUAAAUUGAAGAGUUUGAUCAUGGCUCAGAUUGAACGCUGGCGGCAGGCCUAACACAUGCAAGUCGAACGGUAGCACAGAGAGCUUGCUCUCGGGUGACGAGUGGCGGACGGGUGAGUAAUGUCUGGGAAACUGCCUGAUGGAGGGGGAUAACUACUGGAAACGGUAGCUAAUACCGCAUAACGUCGCAAGACCAAAGAGGGGGACCUUCGGGCCUCUUGCCAUCAGAUGUGCCCAGAUGGGAUUAGCUAGUAGGUGGGGUAACGGCUCACCUAGGCGACGAUCCCUAGCUGGUCUGAGAGGAUGACCAGCCACACUGGAACUGAGACACGGUCCAGACUCCUACGGGAGGCAGCAGUGGGGAAUAUUGCACAAUGGGCGCAAGCCUGAUGCAGCCAUGCCGCGUGUAUGAAGAAGGCCUUCGGGUUGUAAAGUACUUUCAGCGGGGAGGAAGGUGUUGUGGUUAAUAACCACAGCAAUUGACGUUACCCGCAGAAGAAGCACCGGCUAACUCCGUGCCAGCAGCCGCGGUAAUACGGAGGGUGCAAGCGUUAAUCGGAAUUACUGGGCGUAAAGCGCACGCAGGCGGUCUGUCAAGUCGGAUGUGAAAUCCCCGGGCUCAACCUGGGAACUGCAUUCGAAACUGGCAGGCUAGAGUCUUGUAGAGGGGGGUAGAAUUCCAGGUGUAGCGGUGAAAUGCGUAGAGAUCUGGAGGAAUACCGGUGGCGAAGGCGGCCCCCUGGACAAAGACUGACGCUCAGGUGCGAAAGCGUGGGGAGCAAACAGGAUUAGAUACCCUGGUAGUCCACGCCGUAAACGAUGUCGACUUGGAGGUUGUGCCCUUGAGGCGUGGCUUCCGGAGCUAACGCGUUAAGUCGACCGCCUGGGGAGUACGGCCGCAAGGUUAAAACUCAAAUGAAUUGACGGGGGCCCGCACAAGCGGUGGAGCAUGUGGUUUAAUUCGAUGCAACGCGAAGAACCUUACCUACUCUUGACAUCCAGAGAACUUAGCAGAGAUGCUUUGGUGCCUUCGGGAACUCUGAGACAGGUGCUGCAUGGCUGUCGUCAGCUCGUGUUGUGAAAUGUUGGGUUAAGUCCCGCAACGAGCGCAACCCUUAUCCUUUGUUGCCAGCGGUCCGGCCGGGAACUCAAAGGAGACUGCCAGUGAUAAACUGGAGGAAGGUGGGGAUGACGUCAAGUCAUCAUGGCCCUUACGAGUAGGGCUACACACGUGCUACAAUGGCGCAUACAAAGAGAAGCGACCUCGCGAGAGCAAGCGGACCUCAUAAAGUGCGUCGUAGUCCGGAUUGGAGUCUGCAACUCGACUCCAUGAAGUCGGAAUCGCUAGUAAUCGUAGAUCAGAAUGCUACGGUGAAUACGUUCCCGGGCCUUGUACACACCGCCCGUCACACCAUGGGAGUGGGUUGCAAAAGAAGUAGGUAGCUUAACCUUCGGGAGGGCGCUUACCACUUUGUGAUUCAUGACUGGGGUGAAGUCGUAACAAGGUAACCGUAGGGGAACCUGCGGUUGGAUCACCUCCUUACCUUAAAGAA